AGGGUGAAAAAACCUGUCUUCGUAGUUGCCAGUGAUGAUGGAGCAGUGUCUCACCGAUGGAGGAGUCGUGGGAUGGCUCGUAAACGUGCGGGCGCCAGGGACGCUUUGGAGGGACUAGGAAGAUGAAAUCAAAAGGAAAAAAGGAGAAAGAUCCCCCCUGCAAAUCCAGAUCCCCCCUGCAAAUCCAUGCACCGGUUCAUCUGCUCGGCUGCUGCUGCUUGACAGAGUCAUUACUGCCUUGGCCUUCUGUGGACGUGUUUCAAACGCUCAUUGAGAGCUGAGGAGCCGAGUUGGCUUGUUUAUGACUUAGCUGACAAGCCCAGGCUAAAUCCAAAC